UUGAGGCCAGGAGUUCAAGACCAGCCUGGACAACAUAGUGAGACACCAUCUCCACAAAAGAAAAAAGAAAAAGUUCUGCUGUGGGUAAAAUUGUUAUCAAACAUCCUCGCAUGCUACAGAGAAAUCUUUCCUGAAAGGAACAAUCAACGCAGCACACUUCAUUGUUGUCUUAUUUUAAGAAAUUGCCAUAGCCACCCCAACCUUCAGCAACCGCAGCCCUGAUCAGCAAACAUCCACACUGAGGCAAGACCCUCCACCAGCAAAAAAGAUUACAACUUGAUGAAGGUUCAGCGUCCUGGAACUGAACCUACAAUACCCCAUAGAUGUGGACACACAUCCACCUCCUGUCGUAUUGCUUUUGUUUCUCUGGAGAACUGAGUCAUAGACUGUCCCACUAUAUAAAGUGAAGCAGGUGAAAUGGAAUGUGCGUGUACGGGAAGUUCGAAUCCAAUACCGACUCCCUUUCUACGACUGGUGCGUAUCUCUGGGAAUGACAGCACCCGGGAAAGUGUGUCGUUCUUUUGACAGCACUGUCUUCCUUCGUUUAUUCAUGGAUUCCCUGAAACCCACCAUGUUCCAGGCAUCACCCUCGGUACUGACCAUGCCCCCGACUGGAGUCUAGUGGGGAAGACAGAUAACAGGGAAAGUUCUCCAACAGAAACCUGCUGAAGAUGCCAACGGGUCACCCACAGAAAUGGGGUCUGCGUGGCCCUGAGUAGAAAAUGCUGCUUGAGCUGCAUGGGGAAGGAUAGUUAAGUGCUUUAAAGGUGGACAAAAGGUAAAAGAGCGUCUCUGAGGUAAUCUGGCAUGUCCUGGCAAAGGCCCGUGUCCCUUCGGUACAGCUGCAGCCCUGGGAUGGGAUGGGGGUUUAGCGAGGGGCUGAGGCAGGGUGGGAACCAGAUGAUGAAGAACCAUGAGCGUUCAGGGUUUGUCAUGAAAGUCAUGAGGCAGCACUGAAGUAUUUGAAGAGGUGAGAAUGAUUUGGUCAGAGCUACAUUUCAGAAAAUCUGCUGUGAAACAAUGAAGCUUGUAUUAGACCUUGUGUGUCCAUUUGAUUGGGUAAUCAUUAUCGUUUUGAUUUGCAGAUGUUGAACUGCCGCCAUGAAGAGCUUCAGUAAUUACCCCAGAUUAUCUGGUAAGAUAAUGAGAGCAAAUCAACAAACUCAAUUGUUCUGUUUCCUAGGUAAUUUUCCCUUUCUGUGCUUCUCAGUGUAAUUCUUAACUUCAUUCACUUCGAAGUUGAACUUCAGCUGGCAAGUUAAAGGUUAAUGUAUUGUCUCUCCUUGUCCAAGAACACUCAGUGGACUUGAGACAGGACGAUAGACUUCAGGGCAGAUUUUUUGUAGGUGGGUUUGUUUUUUACUUAGCACUGAGAACUAAUUGCACCUUGAUCCUCUCCCCAAGCCCCAUCUCAUCCCAAACUUCCUUUCUUCCGAGUUUACUUAGAAAGAUUUCUGAGUGAGAGGACUCAGAGAGAUCCCAUUUAGACAGAUUGUAUACAAAGAAAACAGUCAGAGAUAUUUUUCCCUGAUGAUAAGCUAAUGGGCUUCAGAAUUCUUUGUUCUCAUGUGUAUUAUAAACCAUCUAAAUGUAUAAAUUAAAAUAGUUCUUCUCUGAGCUCAUUCUGAAACCAUGGAUGAAAACUAUCCCAUGUACUGGACAGAAUGUAACUCUAAAAUAAUGAGUUUAAUUUAUCUGUAACAAGAACAGUCUUUUUUUUUUUUUAAAUCAAGUUAGACUUGAAAUUUUUUUUAAAUUAAUAUAAGCUCUAUUUAUAAUCAUUAGACCAGACCUGUUCAUUGUUAGAAUCAAUGAGCUCUGUCACUGCUACCUUGACUCUGAAAUUUAUGUUAGGAGUGAGACUGUUCUUUGAAGGGCUAGAGAAGAAUGAACUUAUAAUCAGAACAGAGCUUUUUGGGGGGUAAACAGACCACAGCCUGACAUGCAGGAUGCCUGUCCUAGGUCAGAAACUUUUACUACACAGUAAGGAAGGCUUGGGGGGAGGAUUUGGUGAUCGGUAAUUCACUCCAAUAUCAGUCACAGGGGCCCUUUUCCCACGAACUUACAGACCCCGCAGUCGCUGAAGCAGUCACACAUGCUGGUCUGCCAGUUGGAGUUCUGGGGUGCCGGACCGUAUCCAGGCUGGGUCACCACGACCACCGGCGACUGAGCUUGCAUUGUCAGCGCAGGGUCUGAAAGGACACAGUCGGCGUGAGCGUUGCUCUCGGCAGGCUCCCCUGGCGCAGGCUAGUGAGGGGAUGUGGAGGAAGUUGGUGUUUGAAGAACAGAAUUUCUGUUUCCACCCCGAGGAGGGCAGAGGCCUGGGGGGCGGGGGUGAAAUUCACUGAACCGAUAGGGGGAACAGAUGAUUCCCAUAAGGUAAAGGCAGAAGGGGGUUGUGUGAGGCCUGUUUUUAGGUAGGUACUUGAUACCCACCUGAGACAGGGAAACAAGUGACCACCGAAGGAAACAUGUCUCUAAAAUUGCGCCAUCCUAAGCUGUUGUGUGCACCCCCUGCCGCCUCUUCAUUCUAUUCCUUUUUGUUUGGGAGUUGUUUCCCGUCAGCAGGCCUGUCUCAUCUUUCUGCACACACCCUGGCCCUUCACUGCAAAUUCACGGGGGGCCUGUGUCCCCUUGUCAGGGCUGGCUUGACAGACCCUUGCGGGGUGCUAGGGCAAGCCCUGAUGGGGUGUCCCCACAAAGCUCAUUACAAAGGACACUUUGCUCGGUUACUCCUCACUUCCUCCGUCCUCAGAGGCAGUAUGGGGUCAAGGAACAUCAUUAGAUUCGCAGCAAGAAUGUCUUUGCUGGAAUCCCGGUUUCUGAGAGGGGUGUGACCUCAGACUCGUCAUUGGACUUGUCAUUUAACCUUCCACUGACUCUUCCGGACACGGGAAAUGGUUUCUGACCUGCCCACCCCAAGUGCUCAUUCUAGAGAAUUUCUCUUUUUUCUACGAACCUAUACCACAGACUGCAUUCAGAACAGCCGAAGCUUCCUUUAAAUGUACUGGAUGUGCCCUUUUAUGUACCUUCAAGUAGGUUUGACUUAUGCUCAAUUUUUAAAAACGUCCCACAAUGGCCUUUUACUGCUUUUUUACAAUGAAGGGGGGGGGGGUCCCACGGAAAACAAGGUUUUCUGCAAAAGAAGAAGGUUCUCGUAAGUGAACACAAAACCAGCCGGUGGACUGUGCCUGUCAUCCCGGACGUGGGCUCAGGAUGGUGACGGCGGGUGGCAGCGGGGCCCCCCGGGGCGCUUGCGACCAGGCACCACCUCCCCCCGCGGCCGUGGUCACCUGUGUCCCCACGUGUCUGCUCUGGGGGCUCCAGGCCUUGUUCGCCCGUGAAUUCUCAGGGUGCCCAGCGCAGAAUCGCCCGGGGACAGGGCCGGCGGCGGGCAGGACUUGGCAGGACCGGCCGUGGCGCGAGGGAGCCGGGGGCGCCAGGGACCCCCCAUCCUCCGGGCGUCACCAACCCACGUGACCCCCGGGGCGCCCCGGCUCCCCCGGCAGCCGAAAGUAAGACUGUGCGGGGCCGGGCACGACCCUCCCCUGCGGAUGCGAGUGCUCGGUACACGCGCCCCAGCUCUAAAGAAACGCGCUCCGUCCACCCCGUGCAACCAGAAGGAAGGAAAUUGCAACGAUUCCGUCCUGCCGCGCACCCCUUGCUCGAUGAUUAGCUUGGCCGUGGGAAAAGUAAGCCCCAGUCCCAAGGGUAAAGCCCCCAAGGGCAGGGACCUUUGUGGGCUGUGCUCACUGAUGUAUUUGAAAACCUCAGCCCGCACCUGGUGCUUGGCAGGUGCCCACGGAGGCCCCCGCGCCCCAGCCUCUGCUUCCCGUCGUGCGGAGGCUGCACGCGGAGCAGGUCGGUGCACUGCGCUAGAAGCCGCGCCAACAACUCAGUGCUUCGUGGGACCCUUCACACCUCCCCGUGCACAAGGGCCGAGCUCUUCCCUGCAUCCCAGACUCCAGUCCUAAAAUGUCAGAAACUACAGAGUUGGGUGAAGGCUUCCCACAUGUGGGGCCCGGGAGGAAGAGGCAUUCCAGGAAAUGCUCAAAGAUGUGCAUUCAAAUUUCUUUUGCAUUUCCUUUUAAUCAAAUACCAGAGAAAAACAUGCAAAGGCAAUGGCAUGGUGGUUAUCCCUGAGUGAUUGGCUAUAGACUUUUUUUUUCCUUUUACCUUUAUAAUUUUCUGUGUUGUCUGAAAAAAUAAUUUAAAAAUAAAUUAGAAUCAAACCAAGAAAUAUUUUUCAGACACAAAAAGCAAAUCCGGUGAAAAAUAUAUUUGGUAAAGAGAUCAUGCCAAUGAUAUUAUAGCCGUUUGUAUUUUUUGUUUUUUGUUUUUUGUUUUUUGUUUUUUCCUUCUUGGCCCCUAGCGAGUGCCUGGCAUGCAACUGGCCUUCAACAGAUGAAGAUAAUCCUACAUCUUUGUCAAAGGAAAAACAUGUUCGUUUAACUCGCUCCUUUUUCAAGAAGCCUGCACUCUAAUUUGUUAAUAUAAUAAUAGCGAUCUGAAGAUUUCAGAAUAAAAACUGGCUUGCGAUUAUGUUUUCCUUUCCCUGACCGUCCUCACUGCGUAUAUGGUGUAUGUAUUUGUGCACUCAAACUGGCGACUGUCAGACUUCACAGCAACCUGAGACCUGUUGUCUGAGUACCUCUGAAGCCCAUUCAGUGGUGAUCUGUGUAUUCUGUAGCAAGCGGCUGCGUCCAGGAUACCCACAUGCUGACUGCCGUUUGGCUUGGAUGGACGUUUACUUCCUCCGUGUAGUGGUCUGAACAGUCUUCAGCCCAACAGUCACAACUCUUCAUCUUGACUUCCUCUUUUGAAUGUGAGAAACUGUGGGCACUCGGGUGUUUCCGUGAGUCUUAGGAACUGAAGCAGAGUAUGAGGCCCCAGGCGGUUCCUAAUUUUAUUAGAAGUUCUUCUGCAGCGCAGGUUACCUGCAGCGGUGGAGGAGGCUGCCCUGCCCAGCCCCGCCCAGCCCUGCCCAGAAAAGCAGUCGGAGAGGAACUGACUUCCCUCUGACUUCCCGCAUGAGAUUUCUUACUUGAGGAAAUACCUUCUUGAUAGUUAUAAAACCGCGCGGAGUAAGCGCACACUCAACUCACUUGCAUGCAACUCUGCAAUCAUUUCAAAAUUCUAGGAGCAGAGAGAGUGAUAACAAAAAAAGUUGGCAGCAGCCACUUAGGAAAAAGGACAAAUGGAGGCAGAGGAAGUGAAAUGGGGAUCUUGGUGGACGAGGUCUGAAGAAUGAGACAAUAACGCCGUUCUUAGAAGGUUUGUCCCACGGAUUGGCGUCAAUGCCAGGAACUCUCGCAGUAUUUGGCUCACAUUUUAAACGUCUUAAUUUUAUCCACUGGUCUCAGUUAGAACCAACCGUGUCCCUGUCUCCCCUGCCUAUGAACACCUCACUCUUGAGGACAGCUCACUACCUUAUUAAAAUGAAUUAAUAUUAUCAAUAUAUUACAUCAGUUAUAUUAAUAUUAAUAAUUAUUGUUGGUUAAUCCUGAUACUAGAUUAUUACUGAGAUUUUUCUCCCUGCUGUUUAUUGAAGUUAAAUUUCAUUUUUUUGGUUUGACUGAAACUUUUAUUUCGUAGUCUCAUACUCUUUGUUGAAGGAUGACAUCUCUCUUUAUACAUAUCAAGGAAGCACCAGAAUUUAAUUUUGAAGCAUUCUAGUCUGUUUUUCUUACUUGUACAGUGAGAAUUCAAGGAAUCUUAUAGUGCAUUAGCUAAAUCUACAAAAUCUCAUCUCUUGUUUCUAAAUAUUUUGAACAGAUCAAACGAAGUAUUUUCAAAACACAAAGAAAUUUUUUUAAAAGUCUUUUUUUUCUAAGCUUCCCUGGGAAGUGAAGCACAAAGAAAUUAGACUGGCACAAGUAAACAGGCACAUGUAUUGAGAUGAGUGAAAUGAAUGAUCAGUUAGUAAAUACAGUGCAUCAUACAUGUUUCCUGCCGAAAGCAGUAUUUGAUGAGGAUUCAAAACUGAAAUCUUACACAACUUUGAAAAGCAAAAU